CGCCACUCCACUCUCCCCCCAAUACACUGUUCCAAGAAGAACAAGAUCUGGUGGCCGGGAUUUGGGACGACGACUAGUUCUCAUCCGCCGGACCCGGCAUUGGAGAAGGUUCGCCGAGAUGGAGCCACCGGAUCCACCAAGAAAAAGGAAUCUGCCUGACGAAGCGGAUGGAAGAGAAAGCAAGAAGAAAAGGGCAAGAUCUGUCGGACCCAUGGGGGUAGCUGGAGAUGGCGACGGCGCACAUCUGGCCAUGCCAGAUGCUCCGGGGGAGCGUUCUUCAGAAGGCACCACAACUGUCUCGGAUCCGGAUGCUGAUGAGUUGGAGAUGCGAACGACGACGAAGCGGAAGUGGAAGCGGGUGCUCGUGGACGAGUACAUCGCAAGCAAUGCCAAUAAGCGUAGGCCUCGGCGUACGCUUGUAGUAGUACCGAGGACACCACCGCCUGAUGGAUAUGUUGUUCCUGUCAUUCCGCCAGGCCGUCUUGCGGAGUCUACUGUCCUUUGAGGUAGAGUCGUCAGGUGCACUUGGAGCUGCCAUCAGAUCGUAAGCCUGGGGUUGCAGUACUACCCGAAAGUUCAUACAUCAGGCAUGGCUAGUUUGUUGACCACUGUGUGGAGUGGAGAGGUUGAUAGAAGGUUCUACGCUUGGCUGCUGAGUAGAUUUAGGUGGGAGGAUAUGAGUUUCACAUUCCCUGAUGGUCAAAUUAGAUAUUUUACUCCCAGAUCGAUUGUCCGUACAUUGGGUCUAAAAAAUCAUGGCCGGCCAGUAAGCUUGCUUAAAUUAAAGCCGAAGGACAGACAAAACCUAACAUUAAGAAUCAGAACAAUCCUGGGGCUAACAAUCCAUGCUGUCAAUGACCUUAUUAACAGCUUGAAAAUGUUGGAUCUUGACCAGCAUCAGACCAGGGUUUUUCGAGAUGGCAUUCUCGCUAUUAGCAGCUGCUACCUGUGUUGGUCCAAAACAGUCAUACUCAUCGAUACCCUGGGAGAUGUUUGCGUGUGUGCUGUGCAAUGGUGGCACUGGUGAGUUUGAUUUAGCAGAAUGGGCAUUUCAGAUCAUCAGAGCAGCUGUGAAAAAACUUCUGAAAUAUUUAGACGCUGGACUCAGGACUCUGAUAAUAGGAGCCCUGUUCAAGAAUUCGUCCGAUUAACCAGUUAA